GACGAACGCUGGCGGCGUGCUUAACACAUGCAAGUCGAGCGGUAAGGCCCUUUCGGGGGUACACGAGCGGCGAACGGGUGAGUAACACGUGGGUGACCUGCCCUCAGCUCUGGGAUAAGCCUGGGAAACUGGGUCUAAUACCGGAUAUGACUCCAUGACGCAUGUUGUGGGGUGGAAAGCCUUGUGCGGCUGAGGAUGGGCCCGCGGCCUAUCAGCUUGUUGGUGGGGGAUGGCCUACCAAGGCGACGACGGGUAGCCGGCCUGAGAGGGCGACCGGCCACACUGGGACUGAGACACGGCCCAGACUCCUACGGGAGGCAGCAGUGGGGAAUCUUGCGCAAUGGGCGAAAGCCUGACGCAGCGACGCCGCGUGAGGGAUGACGGCCUGGUGU
rnacentral:rRNA from 1 species